rnacentral:rRNA from 1 species
UCGGUCAGGGAUGAGCUCGCGGCCUAUCAGCNNNNNGGUGAGGUAAUGGCUCACCAAGGNNNCGACGGGUAGCCGGCCUGAGAGGGUGACCGGCCACACUGGGACUGAGACACGGCCCAGACUCCUACGGGAGGCAGCAGUGGGGAAUAUUGCACAAUGGGCGCAAGCCUGAUGCAGCAACGCCGCGUGAGGGAUGACGGCCUUCGGG